rnacentral:tRNA from 2 species
AACUAAUGAACUUGUUAAAGUAUAUAUUUUGAAAAUAUAAAAAAGAAAUAAUUUUCUAUUAGUUU